rnacentral:pre_miRNA from 1 species
GGGGGGAGUGCAGGAUCCUGGGCUGUGUCCCUUGGCGCCCUGGGUUCCGGGGCCUGCCGCUGGAAUCACGCUCCUGGGCCGCGCAGCCCCCU